rnacentral:lncRNA from 1 species
UUGCCCAGCUUCUGUGUUGGUCCAGGGCAAUGAGAGGCCAUUGGGACUUCCGAGUGCUCCAUAGCUAGCACUGGCCAGCAACCAGGCGAGGGGCCCCUUCCUCUGCAGCCAGAUGUAAAGGAUGUCUCCCCUGGCUCUCUGGGUAUUUCAGAUGCCCGUUCUAGUUUCAGGGCUACCUGGGCACCAGGUCGUCAGGGCUAGUUCAGCCGGCUAAGUAGACCUCCAGACCGAACAGCUCCCAGCCAAUGCUUCCAAAGCCCUUUCUCCGUGCUUUUCCUUGGCGGCUCCCUGCCUUGGAGAGGAACCGGUGCUGUGAGGGAUCACCUCCAGAGUCUCCUGGGGGGUGGCUUCCCCCAGAUAAUGACUGCUGUGGUUCCAACCUCACAGAACCCUGGAGUUUCUGGAAAGUUCUGUGGUUCUGUUGAAAGCAUAGAUGAGCCAUGGCACGUGUGGGCAUAUAACGCAAGCAGCCAGGUGUCAGGCAACCCCUGACCCAAGCAGAGGCGGUAGGGCACCAGAAGCUUCGGUCCAACCCAAUGCCGUCACAGCCACAGCCUCGUGAGGUGUGAGGACAUCACCUUUAGCCCCAUGUCUCAAACAUGAACUCACCCUCCAAGGAGCUGGUCACUUGCCAGUGAAGUAACUGAGACAUGGUCCUGAGGCCAGAGCUCUGCCUUAGAGAUGCUGGGAUCGGGGUCAUCGGGUCCCCAGGCUCGUCGGGUUGGUGCUGUAGAACCACCUCCACGUAGCCCCUGUGCUGUCACAGCUCACUUGUGGAUUUCUAGUGCCCUUUUCCAUAUGAGCACUCUGUCUGACAAGUGGCCGGCUGGGAAGGAGUCAAAAAGGGGAGUGGGUGGGUGUCCAGAAUCCAGCAGGGAUGCGUGUUGCAGCCAAGGGGAGUUGAGUCCUCAGAGAGCAAUGCGGCCUUGUUUCAAUAAAAACCGUGCCUUUUACAAAGAGAAAAUGCAGCCGAGCAGCUGAUUCCCUAAACUUGAACCACUUACUAGUGCCUUGCUAGACAGACAGACAGACAGACAGGGGAGCGUGGAGAAGGGACACUUAUUCGGGUCCUAUGAGCCCAAUGAGUGUCUUUACGUCUGACUUCAAGCAGAAAGUGCAGAGCAGAACCUGAGACCCAGAGGCCCCCACAGCAGGGACAACUGCCUAUUUGUGCGGCCCUCCCUGAGACAGGACAGCUCUAGAGACCUGACAAGCCCAGAAGUGCUCUGCCUGAACCUCACUAUCAGGGGCGAGCUGAGCAGCUGGGUUUCCAGCGGAUGCCGAGCAGGUGGUUAGGGUGGUUAAGGCAGAUGCUGCCGCAAGCCAUCCCUAGCCUCACUCGCUCCCUUGCUCGCCCGAUUCAUUCCAUCCUCAUCUGGUUCCGUCCCCUUCUCCAGCAGUCACUUCCUCUGAGCGCACCUCAGCAUUUGUGACUGCUGAACUCUGACCUUAGAGCCUAAGACUUGAGGAGGUGUGUCACAGGAAGAACCAGGUUGGCUUGGUGGCUGGCUGCAGAUACUUAAUCCCCACCUUGUUUGGGCUUCAGGUGUGGAAAUCCUUGUCCUGAAGAGUCAGGUUUCUACUCUGCUGAUGGGCCUGUGCCACAGCCCACGCAGCAGGCCGGGCGGCUGGCCUCUUCCUCCAAAGCUUUAUUCAGAGGCUAAGACUACAAAAACAAGAUGUGGUUAGAAAGGCGGCCUCCCCUCCGCCCCGGAGAUUCCAGAAACAUUUUGGAAUGCAGUGUCCUUGCCAUGAGGCCAUUGUGUGGCAGGCAGGCUGUCUUACCCUGCCCUGCCAACUAGAGCUUCUGGCUUUAAAAGCAGCCAGCAAUGAUAGAUCUUGCGUUGCGGCAGUGAGCUGCUCUGAUGGGCGGCCUAGUGGAUCUCCAAAGUCAGCAUCAUGACUCCCCUUCAGUCCUUCCUGUCACGCUCCUCCCUGCGUGGACCCCUCGCUUCAGCAGUCCCUACUUCUCACAGAGGAGACUGUCUGCAUCCAGUGCUCAGGGCAGCCUGUUUGUCUAAAGUCAGGCAGUGUGAAAGGAACAAAGAGUGCAAUUCCACCCUGAAUUCAUCAGCACUUGCCGCUGAGGCUUUCUCCGGCAAAUCCUACUCAUAUUUUGGUUCAAGGUUUUGAUGCUGAGCCAGGGCCCUGCUGCCACCAUUAGGUGAGAGUGGUAGCUACAUCCCAGGUUUCAAGAUCUUAACGCGGUCCACUCAGCUCUGACAGGGAGUCCAGGGGCUGCAGGCAGGGAAGCUGGGCACUGAGACAGGGUUCUGGGGGCGGGGGAGGGGCGGAUCCCAAGACCACCCACCUCUCCUGGAAGAGAGAGCCUUGUAAGGAAUGACUUAUCCUGUUCAGUUGUGACUGUGGUUGUUCAAUAAACCUCCAGACUUUCUCU